rnacentral:sRNA from 1 species
GUCGUGAGAUGUUGGGUUAAGUCCCGCAACGAGCGCAACCCUUGUCCCUAGUUACCAGCGGGUCAUGCCGGGAACUCUAGGGAGACUGCCGGUGUCAAACCGGAGGAAGGUAGGGACGACGUCAAGUCAUCAUGGCCCUUACGUCCAGGGCGACACACGUGCUACAAUGGCCGGUACAGAGCGUCGCGAGCUCGUAAGAGUAAGCUAAUCGCCAAAAGCCGGUCUAAGUUCGGAUUGUGGGCUGCAACCCGCCCACAUGAAGCUGGAAUCGCUAGUAAUCGUGGAUCAGCCAUGCCACGGUGAAUACGUUCCCGGGCCUUGUACACACCGCCCGUCACGCCAUGGAAGCUGGGGGGGCCUAAAGUCGGUGAGCUAACCGCAAGGAGGCAGCCGCCAAAGGUCAAUUCAGUGACUGGGGCGAAGUCGUAACAAGGUAGCCGUAGGGGAACCUGCGGCUGGAUCACCUCCUUUCUGGAGCAUCGAGUAGGGAUUCACUGAGGGAUUCACCUCGGGGGGUCGCGAAAGAUCUCUGGUAGUCGCCCGCACUUCUUCUCUCGUUUCUCCAUUACUGAUAUGCGCUCGGCCGGCGGGAUCGCGGUCGGGACCGUUCUUUGACAAUUGAAGGAUUGGGUGAAACCGCAAUUGCGUGGCAACACGUGAUUGCCGGGAUCAGCACCGAUAUUCAAAUGGUCGAGUCAACCAUCGCGGGUUGCUCGGUCAUUUCAAAGAUCGUUGGGAUCAAACAAAAUAAGGCACACGGUGAAUGCCUUGGCAUCGAGAGGCGAUGAAGGACGUGGUAAGCUGCGAAAAGCCUGGGGGAGCUGCACACAAGCUGUGAUCUCAGGAUGU